AUUUGGAUAACUAUCAUUUUUAAAAAUAAAUUCAAAAGGGAGACUCUACAAAUCUCGUCUGUGGUGCCAGUCCAACAAUCUGGUGGUCCAGCAGCAAAACUGUCGUUUUAUCCACCACGAUUAAAGGCCAUCAAGCUUCACUGUAACAAAUCUCUUUUUCAAAACAUUCAACUCCAAUAUCCUCGCCGGAAAACACAAAAAAAUUAGGGUUUGUUGUUCACCGGACUAACGCCGGCCAUGGCUAUGCACGCUGGAGUAGGCAUAACAAAGAUCGUCUUCAUCGUCGGAGCAGGGUAUACUGGUACUUUGUUGUUUAAAAACGGAAAAUUAUCGGAUGUGAUAGGCGAGCUUCAGAAUUUGGUCAAAAGUUAUGAAAAGACAG